AUUGAACGCUGGCGGCAGGCCUAACACAUGCAAGUCGAGCGGAGCGGCGGACGGGUGAGGACUACCUAGGAAUCUGCCUGGUAGUGGGGGAUAAGGUUCGGCAACGUACGCUAAUACCGCAUACUAUCAGAUGAGCCUAGGUCGGAUUAGCUAGUUGGUGAGGUAAUGGCUAACCAAGGGCACGAUCCGGAACUGGUCUGAGAGGAUGAGCAGUCACCCUGGAACUGCGACACGGUCCAGACUCCUACGGUAGGCAGCAGUGUGGAAUAUUGGACAAUGGGCGAAAGCCUGGUCCAGCCAUGCCGCGUGUGUGAAGAAGUUCUUCGGAUUGUAAAGCACUUUAAGUUGGAAGGCGUUACCGACAGAAUAAGCACCGGCUAACUCUGUGCCAGCAGCCGCGGUAAUUG
rnacentral:rRNA from 1 species